rnacentral:lncRNA from 1 species
CGUUUGACAUGUUUGAACGAACCUACAUGCGCGAGGAUUGCUUUCAGUAUGAAGUGCAGAGCUGCGUUUGGAGAGAGCCAUAGGACGCGCUACCAACAUCAGGCUAAUGGAACGUGAAGUAUGGACUUUUUGACCGAAAAUACAUCUGUUGUGGACCUGGGAUGCUUUCUGAUGAAGACAACUAAAGGCCGGUGGUAGCUGGUCUGCUGCAGGAAGAUGAGGUACUGGAGGUCCCUCCGCCCCCCCCUGGACAUCGAGGGGCCCCCGGCAUAUACAGUCCGGUCCAUCUUGGACUCCAGGCACCAGGUGUGGGGUCUGCAGUACCACGUGGACUGGGAGGGGUACGGCCCUGAGGAGAAAUGCUGGGUACCGGUGGGGGACAUAUUGGACCCUACGCUCAUCCAGGACUUCCACCGCCUCCAUCCGGA